rnacentral:rRNA from 1 species
UACAGAGGUCUCAACCGUUGUUCGGAUUCAUUGGGCGUAAAGGGUGCGUAGGCGGUCGCGCAAGUCGGAUGUGAAAUCUCAGGGCUCAACCCUGAAACUGCAUUCGAUACUGCGUGGCUAGAGUGCUGGAGAGGAGACUGGAAUUUACGGUGUAGCAGUGAAAUGCGUAGAUAUCGUAAGGAAGACCAGUGGCGAAGGCGAGUCUCUGGACAGCAAACUGACGCUGAGGCACGAAGGCCAGGGGGAGCAAACGGG